AUUGAACGCUGGCGGCAUGCUUUACACAUGCUAGUCGAACGGUAACAGGCCGCAAGGUGCUGACGAGUGGCGAACGGGUGAGUAAUGCAUCGGAACGUGCCCAGUCGUGGGGGAUAACUACUCGAAAGAGUAGCUAAUACCGCAUACGAUCUAUGGAUGAAAGCGGGGGACCGUAAGGCCUCGCGCGAUUGGAGCGGCCGAUGUCAGAUUAGGUAGUUGGUGGGGUAAAGGCUCACCAAGCCAACGAUCUGUAGCUGGUCUGAGAGGACGACCAGCCACACUGGGACUGAGACACGGCCCAGACUCCUACGGGAGGCAGCAGUGGGGAAUUUUGGACAAUGGGCGCAAGCCUGAUCCAGCAAUGCCGCGUGCAGGAAGAAGGCCUUCGGGUUGUAAACUGCUUUUGUACGGAACGAAACGGCUCUGGUUAAUACCCGGGGCUAAUGACGGUACCGUAAGAAUAAGCACCGGCUAACUACGUG
rnacentral:rRNA from 1 species